UCUCUGGAGGACUAGUGGUUAGGCCACAGCGCUCUCACUGCUGCGGCCCAGGUUCGAUUGCUGGGCAGGGAA